UUCAGUCAUCAAAUAUGUAUUCAGCCUUCACUGAAUGUGAGGUACUGUGCUGGGGUCCCUAUUUAACAUUUAUUUGUGUGUAUGUGUGUAUAUAUAUAUAUAUUUUUUUUUUUUCAUUUCUACUGGAAGACUGACUCCCUGGAGGAAGAAGAGGAGGAGAAAGAAGAAAAACAGAGAGAGUGGGGAUGGUGAAUCCAGGAAUGUCAGGAGAAGAGGGAAGAAAAUCUGUUAUUUGCUGAGCCCCUACUGUGUGCCAGGCACUUAACACAAGAGCUACCAUUUUACUCCUCGUCACCACCCCAGGAGAAUUUAGUGUUCUCAGGCCUCAGUUUAGAGGAGAAGCAGCAGCCCAGAGCGGGUGAGUAGCUCGCUUAAGGGGACACAGCUGUGUGGAACAGGAUCGAGCAUUUGAACUGAGCACUGUCUGUGACCUCUGUGGACGUCUUCCCACCCAGGAGGCUGCCCUGACCCAGCAGGGAAAAAGGACAAGGUCAGAGGGGUGACAACUGAGAUGCUCCAAGCUGAGAGGCCUGCCUGCUGAGGGACAGGGAAACUGGACGCACGGCUGGGGUUGUGACCAGUGAGAAGUUCAGCCGUGAACGUGGCCUGUGGCUCGCCACAGUGAAAGGCUGGCUGUGGGGGCCACGUGGGCUGUGUGUGAGUGCUCUCCUUUGUGCCAGCGCACAGUCUAGGUACCCACAGCUGACCUGCUAUGUGGAGAGGAUCGCUCCGGUUUUACUGAUGAGAACACUAAGACCUGGAGAAUGGGGAGGGUGUUUAGUCCAGGACUAAACAGCUGGAGCCAGAGUCAGAACUCAGAUCUCUUCUGGAAGGCUCGUGGAAGGGUGGUGGGCUUGGGGGUUCACCCUUAGGAGCUUUCCAAGCUGCCAAGGCUUUCAGCAGAACGGAAGCCCCCCUUCUUGACCUGUCACUCAAGUCCCCAGCUUCUAAGAUGGGAAGGGGCUCCUCUGCUUCAGUCCCCUCUUGCAUGCAAAGGCGGCAAGGAAGUAGGGGUGGGUACACUGAGUUUGGGCACCUGAGCCCAAUGGACUAGCCCCAGUCCUGCUCCACCCUGAUGGGCUGUGUGACUUUCGGCAAAUCCCGCCCCUCCCCAUCUCUCUGGCCUCAGGCUCCUUAUCUGUAAAACAGGCACACAGCACUAUCUGCUUCCUGCCUCCCUGACUGCUCAUUUGUUCAACAAAGAUAUGCUGAUGCCCCCCACUUGUCAGGCUCCUUGCUAGGUGCUGAGGAUACAGCGGUGAACAGAAAAGCCCAUGGUAGCCACUCUCAGGAGGGUUUAGAGACAGCCGUGAAAUGAAAGGACCACACAAACCGACCUGCAUGUAAAAGGGGUCUGCGAUGAAGGAGCAGAGGCUGUGAGCGCCUUAGGCAGGAACGUCUGGUAGGAGUGAGGGAGGAGCUGAAGAAGGUCUCCCUGAGGGGGUGGCGACUGAGCAGGAGCUCACUAGGUAAAAAGUGGUGUUUCUGGCAAGGGGAACGGCAUGUGCAAAGGCCCUGAGGCUGGAAAGGGUUUAGCCGUUCUCGAGGGGUACAGAGGCAGCUGGAUUGCUAGCCG
ensembl:lncRNA